AAUAUUGGACAAUGGGCGAAAGCCUGACGCAGCCAUGCCGCGUGAAUGAUGAAGGUCUUAGGAUUGUAAAAUUCUUUCACCGCGGAAGAUAAUGACGGUACCCGGAGAAGAAGCACCGGCUAACUUCGUGCCAGCAGCCGCGGUAAUACGAAGGGGGCUAGCGUUGCUCGGAAUUACUGGGCGUAAAGGGCGCGUAGGCGGAUCGUUAAGUCAGGGGUGAAAUCCCGGGGCUCAACCUCGGAACUGCCCUUGAUACUGGCGAUCUUGAGUAUGAGAGAGGUAUGUGGAACUCCGAGUGUAGGGGUGAAAUUCGUAGAUAUUCGGAAGAACACCAGUGGCGAAGGCGACAUACUGGCUCAUUACUGACGCUGAGGCGCGAAAGCGUGGGGAGCAAACAG
rnacentral:rRNA from 1 species